AUUGAACGCUGGCGGCAGGCCUAACACAUGCAAGUCGAACGAGUGGCGGACGGGUGAGUAAUGUCUGGGAAACUGCCUGAUGGAGGGGGAUAACUACUGGAAACGGUAGCUAAUACCGCAUACCAUCAGAUGUGCCCAGAUGGGAUUAGCUUGUUGGUGGGGUAACGGCGCACCAAGGCGACGAUCCCGAGCUGGUCGGCGAGGACUACCAGCCACACUGGAACUUAGACACGGUCCAGACUCCUACGGGAGGCAGCAGUGGGAAAUAGUGCACAAGGGGCGCAAGCCUGAUGCAGCCAAGCCGCGUGUAUGAAGAAGGCCUUCGGGUUGUAAAGUACUUUCAGCGGGGAGGCGGUACCCGCAGAAGAAGCACCGGCUAACUCCGUGCCAGCAGCCGCGGUAAUAC
rnacentral:rRNA from 1 species